GGGCCAGUAGCUCAGCCUGGUAGAGCGCCACACUGGCAGUGUGGAUGUCGGCGGUUCGAGUCCGCCCUGGUCCA
rnacentral:tRNA from 1 species